UUUAAAUUGUAUUAUAAAAAUUAUAAGAAGUUAAUAAAUUUAAUUAUAGUUUUAAAGUUAGUUUAAAAAUUUAUGUAUAUAUAAAUAUUAAAAGAAUUAAAUAUAAAAUUAAGUAGUAUAUAGAUUUAAUAAGAUUAAAAAUAUUUAAUUUUAGAAAUUUUUAUAAUUUAGAUAAAUAAUUGUGCCAGCAAUCGUGGUUAGACAAUUUAGAUAAAUUAAUUAGAUUAAAUUAAAAUUAAAUGAAUUUUUAUAAUUAAAAUUUAAAUUGUUAGGUGAAAUUAAUUAAUUUAAAAUUAUUAUAAUUAAAUAAUUAAUUGAAUUUUUAAAGAAUUUUUAAAAAACUAGGAUUAGAUACCCUAUUAUAUAAUUUAAAAUUUAUAAUUUUAAUAUUAAAUGAUUAAUCAUUAAAUUUAAAUAAUUUGGCGGUAUUUUAAUUUUAUUAGAGGAAUUUGUUAAUUAAUUGAUAAUACUCAAUAAGUUAGACUUUAAUUUAAUUUUUAUAUUGUUGUUUAAAGAAUAUUUUUGAAAAAAUUAUUUAAAAUUUUAUUUUUUAAAAUUAAUUCAGAUCAAAAUGGAGUGAAUAUUAAAGAAUUAAUGAAUUACAAUAAAUUUUAUUUAAAUGAAUUUAUAAUUUUAAAAUUAUAAUGAAGGUGGAUUUAAAAGUAAAAUAAAAUAAUUAUUUUAUUUGAUUAAAAUUUUAAAAUAUGUACAAAUUGCCCGUCGUUCUCUUUGAAAAAGGAGGUAAGUCGUAACAAAGUAAAAGUACUGGAAGGUGUUUUUAGAUA
rnacentral:ncRNA from 1 species